AGUUGCGAAGGCGGCUCUCUGGACUGUAACUGCCGCUGAGGCACGAAAGAGUGGGGAGCAAACAGGAUUAGAUACCAUGGUAGUCCACGUUGUAAACGAUGAGUACUCGGUGUCGGGGGUUACCCCCCUCGGUGCCUCAGCUAACGCAAUAAGUACUCCGCCUUGGAAGUACGCUCGCAAGAGUGAAACUCAAAGGAAUUGACGGGGACCCGAACAAGUAGCGGAGCAUGUGGUUUAAUUCGAAGCAACGCGAAGAACCUUACCUAAGCUUGACAUCCCAAUGACAUCUCCUUAAUCGGAGAGUUCCCUUCGGGGACAUUGGUGACAGGUGGUGCAUGGU
rnacentral:rRNA from 1 species